UCGUGUGGGAGCCUCGAGCACCAUCGGCACCUAGGCCCUUGCUCGUGCAGGAGCCUCGGGCACCAUCGGUACAUUGGUGCUUAGAUGUGCGGGAGCCUCAGCCACCAUCGGCAACUGAGGCCCCUAGUCGUGCGGGAGCCUCGAGUACCAUCGAAAACCUAGGCCCCUGGUCGUACAAGAGCCUCGGGACCAUCGGCAACCUAGGCCCUUGGUCGUGCGGGAACCUCGGACACUAUCGGCACCUAGGCCCUUGGUCAUGUGGGAGCCUCGGGCACCACCAGUACCUCGAUACUUGGAUGUGCGGGAGCCUCGGGCACCAUCGACAACCAGGGCCCUUGGUCGUGCGGCAGCCUCGGGCACCAUCGGUAACGUAGGCCCCUGGUCUUGCGAGAGCCUCAGGCACCAUCGGCAACCUAGGCCCUUGGUUGUGCGAGAGCCUUGAGACCAUCGGCACCUAGGCCUUUGGUCAUGCGGGAGCCUCAGGCGGCAUCGGCAUAUUGGUGCUUGGAUGUGCGGGAGCCUCGGACACCAUCGGCAACCUAGGCCCUUGAUCGUGCGGGAGCCUCAGGCAUCAUCGGAAACCUAGGCCCCUGGUCGUGCGAGAGCCUCGGGCACCAUCGGUACCUUGGUGCUUGGAUGUACGGGAGCCUCGGGCACUAUCGGCAACCUAGGCCCUUGGUCGUCCAGGAGCCUCGAGUAGCAAUGGCAACCUAGGCCCCUGGUCGUGCGGGAGCCUCGGGCACCAUCGGCAACCUAGGCCCUUGGUCGUACGAGAGCCUCGGGAUCAUCAGCACCUAAGCCCUUGGUCGUGCAGGAGCCUCGAGCACCAUCGGCACCUUGGUGCUUGAAUGUACGGGAGUCUCGGACACCAUCAACAACCUAGGACAUCGGUGGUACAAGAGCCUCAAGUAGCAUCGGCACCUUGGUGCUCGGAUGUGUGGGAGCCUCGAGCAGCAUCGGCACCUUGGUACCUCGGAUGUGUGGGAGCCUCGGACACCAUCGGCAAACUAGGCCAUUGGUUGUGCGGGAGCCUCAGGCACCAUCAGCACCUCGGUGCUUGGAUGUGCAGAUGCCUCGGGGACCAUCGGCACCUUGGUGCUUGGAUGUGCGAGAGCCUCGGCGCCAUCGAAAUCCUAGGCCCUUGGUUGUGCGGGAGUCGCGAGCACCAUUAGCAACCUAGGCCCUCGGUCUUACGGGAGCCUCGGGCACCAUCAGUAACCUAGGCCCUUGGUCAUGCGGGAGCCUUAGGCACCAUCAGCAACCUAGGCCCCUGGUCUUGCGGGAGCCUCGGGCACCAUCAGUAACCUAGGCCCUUGGUCAUGCGAGAGUCUCGGGACCAUUGGCACCUAGGCCCUUGGUCGUACGGGAGCCUCAGGCACAUCGGCACCUUGGUGCUUGGAUGUACGGGAGCCUUGGACACCAUCGGCAACCUAGGCCCUUGGUCGUACUGGAGCCUCGGGCACCAUCAGUAACCUAGGCCCCUGGUCGUGCGGGAGUCUCGGGCACCAUUGGCACAUUGGUGCUUGGAUGUGCGGGAGCCUCGAGUACCAUUGGCAACCUAGGCCCCUGGUCGUGCGGGAGCCUCGGGCACCAUCGGCAACCUAGGCCAUCAGUCGUAUGAGAGCCUCGGGACUAUCAGCAACCUAGGCCCCUGGUCUUGCGGGAGCCUCGGGCACCAUCGGUAACAUAGGCCCUUGGUCAUGCGAGAGUCUCGGGACCAUUGGUACCUAGGCCCUUGGUCGUACGGGAGCCUGAGGCACCAUCAGCACCUUGGUGCUUGGAUAUACGGGAGCCUCGGACACCAACGGCAACCUAGGCCCUUGGUCGUGCUGAAGCCUCGGACACCAUCGGUAAUCUAGGCCCCUGGUCGUGCGGAAGCCUCGGGCACCAUCGGUACCUUGGUGCUUGGAUGUGCGGGAGCCUCGGGCACCAUCUGCAACCUAGGCCCUUGGUCGUACAGGAGCCUCGAGUACCAUUGGCAACCUAGGCCCCUGGUUGUGCGGGAGCCUCGGGCACCAUCGGCAACCUAGGCCCUUAGUCGUGCGGGAGCCUCGGGCACCAUCGGCACCUUGAUGCUUGGAUGUGCGGGAGCCUCGAACACCAUCGGUAACCUAGGCCCUUGGUCGUGUAGGAGACUCAGGCACCAUCGGCAACGUAGGCCCCUAGUCGUGCGGAAGCCUCAGGCACCAUCGGCAACCUAGGCCUUGGUCGUGCGAAAGCCUCGGGCACCAUCGACACCUUGGUGCUUGGAUGUGCGGGAGCCUCGGACACCAUCGACAACCUAGGCCCUUGGUAGUGUAAGAGCCUCGGGCACCAUCGGUAAUCUAGGCCCUUGCUCGUACGGGAGCCUCGAGCACCAUCGGCACCUUGGUGCCUCAGAUGUACGGGAGCCUCGAGCAGCAUUGGCACCUUCGUGCUUGGAUGUGCGAGAGCCUCGGACACCGUAGGCAACCUAGGACGUUGGAUGUGCGGGUGCCUCAAGCAGUAGGGGCACCCUGGUGCCUCAGAUGUGCGGGCUAAAGAAAAGUGUCCCCGUUUCAGACAUACAAAUGUUUCCUGGUAGUGCCGUCUGGUAGCGAAGCGUCGGAUGUGCGUGUUUUUGGUUCUGCUCAAAGAUUUGGGCGAUUUUUUUUCUUGUUUUUCGUUUGUGUGUCUGCCUUAUUCGUAGUGAAUAUUUUGGCAGUUUGUGUGGUUUCUGGGUGUGUUUGGGUGUUGUGCAUGGUUUGAUUGGUGUUUUCUUUUAAUUGUGUGGCUCUUUCGGUGGCCGUACGGUGUCUUUAUGUUGAUGCGAUAGGGCCAAACGGUGCUCCUGGUCAGACAACUCGUUUCUGGCUGCUUUUCUUCUUUGUGUCUUACGGUGUUUCUCUUUCCGAUUGUUUUAUAGUUUUUUCUAAUCUUUUACUAGGUUUUCGUUUCUUUUUGGUUUCAUGCUUUUCUGCAUGCUUUAUGAUUGUUUUACGUUGAGUGUCCCAUGGUGGCUGGUCUUUUGUACCUUUCUUUUAAAUUUCUACGUUAUUCCUUUAUUGUUCUUGCAUGAAAAACCCUAUAGCAUACGUAUUAUUUUCUUGUCGGCUCUGCAUGAAUUAAGGUUGUGCGUUUAGCCCUUUCUUUUGUGUUGCUUGCCUGUUUUGUUUUCUUCUUUUUGGGCGCCCUUUUUUCUUGUUUCUCUUUUUGUUGUUCUUUACGUUCGUGAGUGCUUCGUCUUUUCUCAUCCCUGGCGAGGUUUUCUUUAGUUGUUUCUUUUGGCGGGUUUUAGUUCUCUUUAUCUGGGUUGAAUCUGCGUAGGUUAUGCAGUUUCGGUUUUUUUUGCAUCUUCUGCCUCGUAAUCGUUUAUCAGGGUGUGUGGUUUCGUUUGGUGAGUUGCUGUUUCCGAUUUUUUGAUUGAUCUUUGGUUUUCUUUUCGCUUUUGUUAGUUUCAUCGUGCUGCUUUUGUCUUUCGUCUUUUUGUUUUUUUUUCUCCUGUGUUGUGCCUGGUCUUUUUAGGGUCUUUGAGGCGGUAGGUUUUGCUGCAAAUUUUUGCUGUUUUCUUUCUAGAUUCUUGAGGCUGAGGUUCCUUGCUAGUUGACAAAUGGAGGAAGGGCCAGAUUUUGGUGCGACAACAUCGAUGGAUGAGUUAAAUGAGCUCUUGAGGAAGUUAAAAUUUUCGGAAGAAGAAUCUGCCCUCGUUAAGAGCAUAAAGAACGGUAAAAAUGCCCAAGGAUUCGAUUCAUGGGCCGUCGGCAAGAUUAUGGCAAAUGAGCAUCCGAACAGAGAAGCAAUGUACAGAGUUUUCAGGUCACUGUGGUAUACUAAGGAAGAGGUGGACUUUGUUGCUUUGAAAAAAGGGGUUGUCAUAGUUAAAUUUGGAUGCUUGGAGGAUCGGAGUCGAAUCCUCAAUCUCAUGCCUUGGUUAUUUGAUAAAUGUUUAUUUUCAAUGGUCCCAUUUGUGAAGGGAAAGCACAUAACUGAUUACGAAUUCUGGCUAUUGCCUUUUUGGCUAAGAAUUUAUAAUAUUCCUAUAGAAUUCAUGGAUCGUCAACUGGCACUGGAUGUGGGGAAUGCCAUAGGAGCUUUGAUGGCAAUAGACUGGAAGGAUAGGAAUGGGGCGUGGACUAAAUUUAUGAGGCUAAAAGUUAAAAUUGAUAUUUCAAAACCUUUGAGGAGGGUGGUGAAGUUCGUGAGCGUUGUUGGUGAGGAAAUGAUAGGGGUUAUAAAGUACGAGAGGCUCCCUGACUUUUGUUCCUUGUGUAGGUUGAUAGGACAUACUACUAGAUAGUGUCAAAACAAUAGGGAGGGUGAUGAGAUAAAGGAUUCAAACCUCCAGUAUGGUAGUUGGAUGAGGGUUCCAUUUGUGAACCCGAAUCAGGAUAGGAACAUGAGAAGAAAUGGGGUGGAGAUUGUUAAUGAAAAAACCAAUACGGAUGAAGACAAGGAGGAAAGUCAAACAAAUUCUAGAGAUGAAAGUGGGCAUUCUGGUCUGAAAGGGAAUGAGAAGGGAGGUGAAGAAGGCUCGAUAUCGACAUCCCCGGUGGAAAAAAGAGUCAAUAAGCCAAUACGGGAUAGUAUGGGACGUUUCAAACAUAAAAGAAAGUGAAUGAGGAUGCUGAACGGCAACAGCUUUGAAGAAAGCCCAUCAAAAACUGUUAGAAGGAGACUAAUGGAAUGUGCUUCACUUGUUAAGUCGGUGGCUAGUGACCAGCCCCACCCGGAACAAUGAAGAUCAUUUGCUGGAACUGUCGUGGGGUUGGAAACCUUGCGACAGUUUGUGAUUUGAAGCAACUUCUUGUUGCUAUUGAUCAUGAUAUAAUUUUCCUAUGUGAGACCAAAAUUAAUGCUAAUAGAUUUGAUUCUGUUCGUAAGAAAUGCAGAAUGGAGGGUUGUUUCGCUGUGAAUGCCGAUGGAAAGAGUGGGGGGCUAGUUAUGAUGUGGAAAGAGAGCAAGAAGUGUAACACCCCGAACCCGAGACCGUCGCCGGAGUCGAACACAAGGUGUUAACAGACUUCAAACCACUUAUUAAAAAUUUCCCAGACAAGCUGCCAAUCUGCGUACUAGUCACUUUAAAAAUCAUAUCUUGAGUUCUGAAACUCGAAAUCCAGUUCCGUAAAUUUUCCCCGGAACUACACUCAAAUAUCUAUAUGGUAGAAUUUUUGUAGAAUUUUUGGUCGGGCCAAUUGGUACAGUUUAUUAGUUAAAUUCGUCCCUGUUCCUGGGUUCGACUACUCUGACCUUUGUGCAUUACGACUUAGAUAUCUCCCUUUACAGAGCUUUAAUACUUAUUCUGUUUGUCUCUAACAAAACUAGACUCGAUAAAGAAUCUGUACAUAUAAGGCACGACCUCUAAUUAUCUCGAUAAAAUUUACGGUGAAUUUUAUAAGUCAUAACAGGGAUCCAGAAAUCGAUCUGGCACUGUUUCACAAGAAUUUAAUUAUCUCCUAACAUAAAGUUCAUAUGGUCGUUUCGUUUCUUCCAUAUGAAAAUAGACUCAUCAAGCUUCGAUUACCUAAUUUAUUCAUUAUUUAAUUCCAUUUCUACUAUUUUUAGUGAUUUUUCAAUCCCACAACACUACUGCUGUCAGCAUCUGUUACUAAAGCAAACUAUGCCUAUUUCGUGAUUUUCCUUGGUCUAACCAGUGAUUCAUCAUACCUAUCACCAAUUAUGAUCAUGACUAGCCAUGCCAAAGGCUAAUCAUUGUCAAACAUCUCCCUACUACACUAUUGCCAUAUCAUGAAUUUUAGCACCAAAAAUAAUCAACCAUGACAUAUGGCAUAAAAAUCGAAUAGGCCUCAACUAUUAUUCAACCAAAACCAAAUUGGCCCAAUAUCAGUCAUGACCACAUUAUAAAACCCAUUUACUAAGAUUUAUAACUAAAUAUCAUAGGACCCAAAGUCCAAAUUAACAUUUAUGCCAUUUCCGCAUGGCUGAAAGUUUACAUACCAAAGUUCAAACACAACAUAAUAGCCUAUACAUGCCGAAAUGUUCUCCUAGACCGACUAAGAAGAAAGUACCAAAACUUGCUAGCUGGUGUGAUGACUUCGAUGACGGUCCCAAGCACGCAAAAAGACGAGCCCAAGAAACCUAAAGUAGGUGACAAGCAAACACUGAGUGAGUAUAUAACUCAGUAAGUCAUAAGCAUUACAUAAUCAUCCAUUAAUAAAUUAUCACAUGAGAAAACAAGUGAAAAGGGGUUAAUUCUCUCCACCCAUACCAACUAUGCCAUGGUUCCUUAGACCUUUCGGCUCAAUAUCAUACUAAGUACUACAUCAAUUUUUCAUAUGCUACUCAACAUGGUAUUUGAGGCAUUUUCCAUGGAUGUUUUCAUUCUCGUUACAUUCAUGCAACUAAAUAACAUUCCCUCUAUUCCACGAUGAAUCUCAUGUACGUCACUUCAAGUAUAAUUAUCACAUAGGUUCAAAACUUAUCAAGCAAGAAUUCCAAAUAUAAACAUAACGUCUAUUAGCCACGAACUCAAGACACUUACUCGUCCGCUGUCCGUGACCAACUCAAUAAGGUCGCACACUUAGUGUCAAUAGUGCUUCAAAAACAUAUAGUAAGUCCGCACACUUAGUGUUAUAUAAUCAAACUCGCACACUUAGUGCUUACAUAAUCAAACUCGCACAAUUAGUGCUAUAUAAUCAAACUUGCAUACUUAGUGCUAUGCAAUUUAAACCCGCACACUUAGUGCCAAUCUCAUGAUCAUAAUUGUUUAUACCCGCACACUUAGUGCUGAAAUCUACAUCUCAAUACACCUCACCUCUUUUCUUUUUCAUUCAAUACUUUCAUCACCCCAUGCAUACGUGUAUAUAUAUAUUUAUCAUUUCAUUCGACAUAAUAACAUAGACACUAUGACUAUUUAAAUCAAUACCAAAUAUAUGCUUAAUGACUUACCUUGUGUUGGGUAAGACGGUUCCAACUCGGCUACUCGAUGAUCUUUUCUUUGCCUUUGCUUGAUUCUCCUCCUUUAACUCCUUGAGCUUAAUCAAUAAAUCAACUAGUUUAACCAUCUUGCUAAACAUUCAUAAUUCAAUUACACAUGAAUAUGUAUGUUUGUAUAUUCGGCAACCAUCCUCACUAAUUACCCAUUCAGUCGAUUAUACACAUAAUUAAAGGUAACAUCACGAAUGGGCAUACUUAUGUAUAUAUAUAUGUAUAUAUACUUCCGAAUGGGCAUCACAAUUAGAUUUAACACCACCUUCAUACUCAAUUAGAUGGCCGAAUGUAUGUAUAUAUGUACAAUGUCAACUAUAACAUCAUUUAAACACCUAAUUUCAUCUCAUGAACACUUGAUCGAAUUUUCCUAAUCUAGCAUAUUUUCACAUCUAUUUGUAACAUCAUGUAAAUCCACAUAUAACUACAUUUCUUAAGUUCCACAUCUUAAUGCCCAUUAUAGCCACUCCCAUAGUCUAAAUCUAACAAUCGGCAACACCCACCUUUCCACUAUGUUAGCCGAAUACUCAUUCUCUUCUUAGUCCUAAAUUCGGCACCUCCAACAAAAUAGCUUAACAAUUUCAACUUUCAUGCUAACAUAACAAGCAACUUAACACAUCCAUAUAACUAGCAUGCUAAUAGCAUCAAGGUAUCAACUAAAAUUUUUAAGCUCCUUAGCCGAAUCCUAACUCUCCAACAACCCCAAAUCCAACCAUGAGAUAGAUAGAAUUUAGACUCAUCACCCAAAGGUUGUAUAUACUUCCAAAAAUAACCUUGAACAUACCUUAAUCUAGAGGACCACCUUGGCCGAAUCUUCCUUCUUCCUCUUCCUCUUCCUCUAGUUACGGCAAUUGCAAAAGAAAGAAAACAUGAACACUCCUUCUUCCCUCCUCAUUUUGUUCAUCUUUUCCUUUUUAAUUCCUUUCUUUUAUUUAUUUUAAUUGUUAACUAAUAAAUAAUUGCAUUGAAAUUCAACCUAAGGGAUGGGCAUCAUGGCAUGGCCGGCCACUACUUGGGUUUUUUUUGGCAAUUUGACAUGCAAACCCAAGAUCCCUCACUUUGUUAUUAUUUGGUCCUUACACAUUCCCCUAUCAUAUUUUCUUAAGUUCUCAACUAAGUCAAUCACACGAAAUUCACAUUCAUAAGUCUAAAUUAAAUCAUCAAAUUUUCACACAUACACUAAUACACAUAGAGGACAUGCAACUAAAUUUUAAAUAAAUUCUUGGGACUCGGUCUUAUGGCCCCGAAACUACAUUCCAACUAGGGUCUAAUUUAGACUGUCACAACUCUCCCCCACAUAAGAAAUUUUUCGUCCCCGAAAAUCUUACCAGUGAACAAUUUAGGAUAUCGAUCCAUCAUAGAGUCCUCAAGUUCCCAAGUGGCUUCUUCGACUCCGUGUUUAUGCCACAGUACCUUUACUAAUGAGAUUUUCCUGUUUCGUAGUUCUUUUACUUCACGUGCUAAAAUACGAACUGGUUCUUCUUCGUAACUCAAAUUAGAUUGAAUCUCGAUCUCCAAUGGAGUAAUUACGUGCAAUGGAUCGGACCUAUAUCGUCGAAGCAUCGAGACAUGAAAAACGUUGUGAGUCUUUUCGAGCUCAGGGGGCAAAAUUAAUCGGUAUGCAACUGGUCCAACUCGUUCGGAUACUUCAUACGGACCGAUGAACCUCAGACUCAAUUUUCCCUUACGACCAAAUCUAAGCACCUUCUUCCAGGGUGAAACUUUGAGAAAUACUUUGUCUCCAACCUGAUAUUCAAUGUCUUUUCUUUUCAAAUCCGCAUACGACUUUUGACGAUCCGAAGCGGCUUUCAAACUUUCGCGAAUUACUUGGACUUUUUGCUCGGCAUCCUUAAUCAAAUCAACCCCAAGGAUCUUACUUUCACUAAGUUCAGUCCAAAAUAAUGGGGUACGGCAUUUACGACCGUAUAAAGCCUUGUAAGGUGCCAUCUUAAUGCUUGACUGAAAAAUAUUGUUGUAAGCGAAUUCGAUCAAAGGCAGAUAUCUUUCCCAUGAACCACAAAACUCUAAUACACAACAUCUCAACAUAUCCUCGAGUAUCUGAAUUAUCCGCUCAGAUUGGCCAUCGAUCUGAGGAUGGAAUGCGGUGCUAAAGUGCAUCUUGGUACCCAAUGCUUCUUGUAAUUUUUUCCAAAAUCGCGAGGUAAAUCUUGGGUCUCUAUCCGACACGAUGGAAAUAGGUACCCCAUGCAACCGAACUAUUUGGGAGACAUAUAAUUCUGCCAAUUUAUCGAGCGAAAAAUCCGUACGGACAGGGAUAAAAUGAGCAGACUUGGUCAAUCUAUCAACAAUGACCCAGACCGAGUCUUUCUUACUCUAAGUCAACGGUAACCCAGAUAUAAAGUCCAUUGUUAUUCGAUCCCAUUUCCAUUCGGGUAUCAUGAUUGGCUGAAGUAAUCCUGAUGGUACUUGAUGUUCCGCUUUCACUUGUUGACAUAUCAAACACCUUGAAACAAAUUCAAAAAUGUCUCGUUUCAUACCGGGCCACCAAAAUUGGCAUUUCAGGUCAUUGUACAUUUUAGUACUACCCGGGUGGACUGACAUUCGACUACUAUGAGCCUCGUUCAAAAUCAUCGAAAUAAGUUCCGAAUUUCUUGGAAUACAUAAUCGACCUCUGAACGUCAAGCAAUCAUUGUCGUCAAUCCGGAACUCCGAUUCCUUAUUUGAAGCACAUUCAGCUCGUUUAGUGACCAAUUCAGCAUCGACUUUCUGGGAUUCAAGUAUUUGACGAAUCAAUAAUGGUUUAGCCUCUAAUUCAGCAACUAGCACCCCAUCGGGUGAGACGGAUAAGUGAGCAUUCACCGCUCUCAAAGCAAACAGUGCUUUCCGACUUAAAGCAUCGGCAACCACGUUAGCCUUUCCCGGGUGAUAAUCAAUAACAAGUUCGUAGUCCUUCAACAACUCAAGCCAACGUCUUUGUCAUAGAUUUAGAUCUCUUUGAGUCAUCAGAUAUUUUAGACUCUUGUGGUUCGAAUAAAUAUGACACCUUUCUCCAAACAAGUAAUGUCGCCAUAUAUUCAAGGCGAACACUAUGGCUGCUAAUUCAAGAUCGUGGGUCGGAUAGUUUCUCUCAUGCGGCUUUAAUUGUCUCGACGCGUAAGCCACAACUCGACCUUCUUGCAUCAACACACAACCUAGCCCAAGUAAGGAUGCAUCACUAUAAAUGACAAACUCUUUGCCGGACUCCGGUUGUACUAGCACUGGAGCUUCGGUUAAACAGGUCUUUAGUCGAUCGAAACUCUUCCGACAGUUUUCUAUCCAUUCAAACUCAACAUCUUUUUUGGAGUAGUUUCGUCAACGGUGCAGCUAUCAUCGAGAAACCCCUUACAAACCGUCGGUAGUAUCCGGCAAGUCCCAAAAAUCUCCUAACUUCAGUAAUAUUCCUCGGAGGUUUCCAAUCGAGUAUGGUCAAAAUUUUGUUCGGAUCCACUCUAACACCCGAUGCGGACACCACGUGCCCCAAAAAGCUAACCUCUCUCAACCAAAAUUCACAUUUACUGAAUUUUGCGUAUAACUGCUUGUCUCGCAAAAUCUGUAAUACUAACCUCAAAUGCUCGGCGUGUUCGGCUUCACCUUGGGAAUAAACUAAAAUAUCAUCAAUAAACACAACCACAAAUCGAUCCAAGUAUGGCCUGAAUACUCGAUUCAUUAAAUCCAUAAAUACCGCAGGGGCAUUAGUGAGCCCAAACGGCAUCACUAAGAAUUCGUAGUGACCGUACCUCGUUCUAAAAGCGGUUUUGGGUAUGUCCGAGUCUCGAACCCUCAACUAAUAAUAACCAGAUCUCAAAUCUAUCUUGGAAAAUACUGAGGCUCCCUUUAAUUGAUCAAACAAAUCAUCAAUACGUGGCAACGGGUAUUUAUUCUUUAUGGUCACUUUAUUCAACUGACGAUAGUCGAUGCACAAUCUCAUGGUUCCAUUCUUCUUUUUCACAAACAAUACAGGUGCGCCCCAUGGAGAAAAACUCGGUCGAGCGAAACCUCUAUCCAUCAAUUCUUGCAAUUGAACUUUCAAUUCCUUUAAUUCUGUUAAUGCCAUACGAUACGGGGCUAUUGAGAUUGGCGUGGUACCAGGUACAAUCUCGAUGCCGAAUUCCACCUCUCGAACCGGUUGCAACCCCGGUAACUCCUCAAGAAAAACAUCUGAAUACUCACAAACCACUGGUACUGAUUCAAGUUUCCUUUCCGUCUCUUUGCUAUCAAAUACAUACGCAAGGUAUGUUUCACAACCCUUUUUCACAUAUCUCUGAGCGGUCAUUGAAGAUAUUAUCGCUGGCACCCCCUUCAAAUCGGUAGACUCAACUCGGACUACCUCAUCAUUUGCACUCCUCAAAUCGAUGGUUUUUCUUUUGCAGUUCACCACUGCAUCAUGUACGGUCAACCAAUCCAUACCAAGAAUAACAUCAAAUUCGUCAAACGGCAAAAGCAUCAAAUCGGCCGGAAAACAGGAUUCUCGAAUUAUUAGAGGGCAUCUCUUACACACUUUAUCAACAAGUACGUAUUGACCCAAAGGGUUUGACAUUAGGAAGGACCCAAUAGGAAGGACCAUUGGGGGGUUGAUGGCAUUCGAUGAGAUUCGGUGUGUCGGUCUUAUUUCAAUCAUGACGAGAGGCUGGUCAAAGAUUUGUGGGUCCCAAAUAACAAGCGGUGGAAUAGGGAAAGGGUUAUUGAGAUUUAUGGUGAGAAUUUGGGGGAGUGUAUAUGUAAAUUGCCCAUUUCUCAUAAUGGCAUUAAAGAUACGAGGGUGUGGAUGCAAAACCCGCAUGGUAUUUACUCGUCUAAGUCAGCUUAUUCUUGGCUUCUUCUUAAGAAAAUUGGCUUCGGUCCUCAUAGAAUUUUUUGACGCGCUUUAUGGAAGCUUCAGAUGCUCCCCAAUAUUAAGAUUUUUAGUUGGCGGAUCAGCCACAAUAUCCUCCCCACGUUCGACAAUAUUGCUCAGAUCCGAUAGGGGGUCCAAAAUAUCUGUCCUAGGUGCAAAGUCAGAGAAGAGACGCUUAUUCAUGCCAUGAAAGACUGCCAAAAGGCUCGUGAAAUUUUGGUGACCGGCAAUUUAAACAAGAGAUUGCUUGAAGGGGUGUACAACACUUGUAUUGACUGGUUGGAGGACGUUUUUCGUGUGCUGGAUAAAAAGGCUACUGCUGAUUUCUUAACGUUGCUUUGGAAUAGCUAGAAUGAUAGAAACAAUAUGGUUUUCAAUGGUAAGAUGGAUGCAGCGGUCACGAUAUGGGAGAGGGCGCAAACAUUAAGUCAAGAUUUUCAAAUUUUUAACUUAACCGAGCCUGCGCUUAUCCCUCCAAUCCCGAUGAAAAUGGCCUGGCAAACCCCUUCGGCUGGCUACAUUAAAGUGAACGUGGAUGCGGCUAUUUCGAAUGGGUGCAGUGGGUUUGGUGCUAUAGCGAGAGACGACGACGGUUUUGUCUUGUGGGGAUGUUACAAGUUCAGGAAUGAAGAACUGGAGGCUAGCUGGGCUGAGCUAGAGGCGCUAACUGUUGGUAUUAAGUUGGCAAAAAAAUUGAAGGCGAAUCAGAUCAUAUUGGAAUCCAAUAGCGCAACUUUGGUCAACAAGGUCAACAAGCGGGCGCAGGACAUUACCAUUCUGGGCCAGCGUGUUAGGCAAGAGUGCGAAGGCUUUUGUUAUUUUAAAACGAUCCAAAUUAAGUGGAUCCACCGUCAUUGUAAUUCUGUAGCAGAUUUGUUGUGUACUGUUGCUAUUACGAAAAAAUGUGAUUUGUUUUUUGAUAUGGAUUAUCCGGAGGAGAUCCAUAACGGUAUUAUUAAUGAUUCAAUAAAUUGAGGUAGACCUUUGGUCGUUUUUCUUUCAAAAAAAAAUGUUGCCUGGUAGCCAAGACUGGAGUGUUAAGAUUUGCGAUAUCCCUAUUGGAGAUGUGGGUCAGGAAGAUAAAAUAAUCUGGUUUCAUAAUACCCACGGGUGUUUUACUUCGAAGUCGGCCUACUCAUGGCUGUUGUUGAAAGAAAUGGGUUAUGGCCCUCACAGAUUUUUUUGGAGAGUGUUAUGGAAACUCGAUACCCUACCGAAGAUCCGGGUUUUUACGUGGCGGGUGGGACAUGAAGUUCUUCUGACAAAUGGAAAAAUAGCUUCUAUCAGACCUGCUUUAACAAGGAGUGUCCAAGAUGUGGUGCGGAAACCAAAACUUUACUACAUGCGCUAAGAGACUGCCCAACGUCGAGAGAAGUUUUGUCGAUAGGAGGAUUGUCUAGGAGCUUUAUCUCCAAAUCAUAUGAUCAUUGCAUUGAUUGGUUGGAAGAUUUGAUGCGUGUCCUUGACAAGAGAGCCAUGGCCGACCUAAUGACAUUACUAUGGAACUGUUGGAAUAACAGAAAUAAUUUCAUCUUCAGGGGAAAAGAGGAGAACCCGCAGCUUAUAUGGGAAAGAGCUAGCAAUUUGAGUAAGGAAUUCCGAGUCUGUAAUAUGCUGAAUGAGCUAUUAAUAUCACAAAAUAAUGGGAAGAAGAAGUGGGUUAAACCUCCGAAGGGAUUCAUAAAAAUAAAUUUUGAUGCUACAGUUGGUGAAAUCAGAAUCGGGUUUGGGACGGUCAUAAGAGAUGAAGAAGGCUUCGUUGUUGGGGGCGGUGGAGGCUUUAAUGAAGGAAGACUGUCCGUGGAAGAGGCUGAGUGCGUGGCUUUUAUGGAAAGCAUAAACGUGGCGCACAACUUAAAUUUAAGAGAACAUGUUCUCUUUGAGACGGAUAAUGCUGGGCUGGUCAACAGAUUUAACAAUUUAGACAACAACGUCACUAUCAUAAGCGCACGGAUUAAGGAAUACACAGCUGCUUUCACAAUUUUUAAGUCUGCCAAUUUAAUUUGGACCGAACGGUCAUGUGAUAGUGUAGCCCAUCUUAUUUGUAAAAAAAUGAUGAAUGAGACCAAAAGUUGUUUUUUUUAUAUGGAUUACCCGUUGGAAAUCUAUAAUGCUGUAAUUUGCGAUGUUACUUAAUAAAAUUGUGUUGACCCGUAUGGUCGUUUUUUGCUCAAAAAAAAUGUUGCCUUGUAGCAGAUUGACGAAGUUUUUUUAGCUCUUUAAGGGGUAGAGAUCCGCUGCCCCCCGACGUGGCCCCCCUCCAACCCGAGUUGGGGUGCGUCCGCAGCCCCCACGGGGGUCGAAUAGUCUCGCAAUGACUCACCAACGGUGGUGUGUCGAUCGCCGGCGCUAGUGGCUGGGGUAAUGAUUUUCUGGCCGGUCAAGCUCGUGCCCAUAGAAAUGUAGCCAAUGACUCCAGGACCAAGUUCCCUGUAUCGGGCAAAGAUCUCAUGGGGUGGCUUAUGCAUUGAUAUGGGCUCGAGCUUGGCUUGCUCAUUCUCCCUCGUCAUGUUAGGGACGUCUUGUGCCUCCUAAGUCGGUGACCCACCGGCGCUUUGGCACCUUGCCUGCAUUUGAAGCUGCCCAUGACCCUAGUACCAAGUCCCUUUGAUGGCAACGGCUCACUGGGGGCGUAAGUUGAGUUUGUAGGCUCGGUCUUGGCUCGACCAAGUCCCAGUGGGAUUUUGUCCCUCGUAGUUCUCAUGCCAAACGAUUGUGGUGUGCCCUCGUUUCAUUGUUCCUUCCGCUCCCCUACCAAUACAUUGGUUGGGUGGGUUGUUGGCUGGUGUGCGUGGGUGCUAGUACUAGUAUGCAAUGGGCAUAUGAGUGGUGUUUUGGUUGUGUGUAUUGGCAGGCUCCAUGCUACCCGCAUCGAACUGUUGAGCCACACUCCUCUUCACUGACUCCCCUUGUUCUAAUUGAACCCAAUGGGUGCGAUCGGGAUCCUGUGUUGCGUACCUAAGCCAGAUGGAAUUAUGGAUGUGUUGCCAUCCCUUCUCCAUCUCGUACCCUUUGGGGUGCGUGGUGGACCAGAAUCGUGCCCUGUGUUUCGAGUGUGCCCCCUUAAAUCGGUGUGGCCUCGUCAGUGCACUGGUGCUUGUUCGUGCUUUCGGAUGCGGAAAAUAUUUUUGAGAGUCGGGUUUAGGCCCUUGUCUCUCAAUGCCUAUGCAUUUUGUCUCUUGACACGGAUGAUGCUCGUGCUCUUUUAUGACCUCUUCGUUGCUCACACGGCAUGUUAAGAGCCAUGCAGUACCGGCGUCGCGGAGGAAUACUACCUGGUUGAUCCUGCCAGUAGUCAUUUUCUUGUCUCAAAGAUUAAGCCAUGCAUGUGUAAGUAUGAACAAAUUCAGACUGUGAAACUGCGAAUGGCUCAUUAAAUCAGUUAUAGUUUGUUUGAUGGUAUUUGCUACUCGGAUAACAGUAGUAAUUCUAGAGCUAAUAGUUGCAACAAACCCCGACUUCUGGA
rnacentral:lncRNA from 1 species